rnacentral:tRNA from 1 species
AAAAGGUUCAAGUCCCUCUAUCCCCA